GUAGGCUUAGUCUUUUUAUCUGUGUGGCCUAAACGUACGCAGGGCCUAAAAGGAAUACACGGAAAUCCUACAAAACCCACAGCUUUUAUUUGAGAAAUAAAACAGGCUAAUACAUCUUUUUUUGGUGUGUUGGUUACACUAGUCUCAGCAGUCAAGUCAGGAAGUCCUGCCUAUCACUCACAGUGAUAUUUGUUUACCCUUAUCUGGUCUCAGUGAUGAGUGAAAGUAGCGGCCAUGGAGAGCCAAAACGCUAGCCACAUUAUUCCUUGAUUAUUUACUCUCUCCCGUCCCCUGCUCCAGCAUGAGCGCUACCUUAAAAGGACUCCCAUAGCAGUGUCACUUUGGUGUCGUAGUGCACAAUGGCUGUGAUUAAUGUGAUCUCUGCAGGCCUCAGAGGAGGUCAGAGGAACAGGGUGUGGUGUGGUGGUUUCCAUACAUGUCCUGUUUUAGUUUGGACUUUUGACCUUUUUGUAAUUAUGUCAGUUAUGAGUGAAUCAAAGCACAUACGUAUUUGUGCAUAACAUUUGCAGAAUUUACAAAAUGUUAAUAAUUUAAAAAUAAAUAAAUAAGAGGGAUCAUAAAGAUUGCAUUUUGUUUUUACUGAGUACUGCCCUGAAUAAGCUAUUUCCCAUAACAGAUGUUUACAUUAUUUUGUCUUCUGGGAAACAUGUAAAUAUCUUAUGUAACUUCUGAAGGGCAGUACUAAAUGAAAAAAAUAAGAUCAUUCUGCUCAAAAGUUUUUUAAUGUAACGUGUUGCCUUCUUGAGGAUCAGUGAAUGUUUGCACCUUAUGUUAUAGUUGUGUACGAGUCCCUCAGUUGUCCUCUGUGUGAAAAGAUAGAUCUCAACAUCAUAUAGUCACUGCUGGAAAGGGUUCAAAUAUGCAGAAUAUUCUGGAAAAGUAAAGAAUGUGCAGGACCUGGAGGAUUUUUCUGAAGAACAGUGGACAGUUUAACUUCUCAGGACUAACAAGGGACUCAUGAACAACUAUCACAAAACAUAAAAACAGUCGUUGAUCAUCCAGGUAACGACACACGGGAUUAAGAAUCAAGCGUAUGUAAACUUUUGAACUGGUUCAUUUGUGUAAAUUCAGUUAUUAUUGUGUCUUGUGGACUAUAUGUAAACUUUUGAACUGGUUCAUUUGUGUAAAUUCAGUUAUUAUUGUGUCUUGUGGACUAUAUGUAAACAUGUUAUGUGAAAUAGCUUAUUCAGGGCAGGACUAAAUUUAAAAAAAA
ensembl:lncRNA